rnacentral:rRNA from 1 species
UGCUCGAGUGGCGAACGGGUGAGUAACACGUGGGUGAUCUGCCCUGCACUUCGGGAUAAGCUUGGGAAACUGGGUCUAAUACCGGAUAGGACCAUCGUUUAGUGUCGGUGGUGGAAAGUUUUUUCGGUGUGGGAUGAGCUCGCGGCCUAUCAGCUUGUUGGUGGGGUAAUGGCCUACCAAGGCGUCGACGGGUAGCCGGCCUGAGAGGGUGUACGGCCACAUUGGGACUGAGACACGGCCCAG